rnacentral:rRNA from 1 species
CAGCCGCCGCGGUAAUACGUAGGGUGCAAGCGUUAAUCGGAAUUACUGGGCGUAAAGCGUGCGCAGGCGGUUAUAUAAGACAAAUGUGAAAUCCCCGGGCUCAACCUGGGAACUACAUAUGUGACUGUAUAGCUAGAGUGCGGCAGAGGGGGAUGGAAUUCCGCGUGUAGCAGUGAAAUGCGUAGAUAUGCGGAGGAACACCGAUGGCGAAGGCAAUCCCCUGGGCCUGCGCUGACGCUCAUGCACGAAAGCGUGGGGAGCAAACAGGAUUAGAUACCCUGGUAGUCCACGCCCUAAACGAUGUCUACUAGUUGUCGGAGGGUAACUCCUUCGGUAACGCAGCUAACGCGUGAAGUAGACCGCCUGGGGAGUACGGUCGCAAGAUUAAAACUCAAAUGAAUUGACGG